rnacentral:rRNA from 1 species
UACGAAGGGGGCUAGCGUUGUUCGGAAUUACUGGGCGUAAAGCGCGCGCAGGCGGCCAUUCAAGUCAGGGGUGAAAGCCCAGAGCUCAACUCUGGAACUGCCCUUGAAACUGCAUGGCUUGAGUACGAGAGAGGUGAGUGGAAUUCCCAGUGUAGAGGUGAAAUUCGUAGAUAUUGGGAGGAACACCUGUGGCGAAAGCGGCGCACUGGACCAUAACUGACGCUGAUGCGCGAAAGCUAGGGGAGCAAACAGG